rnacentral:rRNA from 1 species
CUGUACAGUUCAGAGUUUGAUCCUGGCUCAGAACGAACGCUGGCGGCAUGCCUAACACAUGCAAGUCGAACGAGACCUUCGGGUCUAGUGGCGCACGGGUGCGUAACGCGUGGGAAUCUGCCCUUCGGUUCGGAAUAACUUCUCGAAAGGGAAGCUAAUACCGGAUGAUGUCUUCGGACCAAAGAUUUAUCGCCGAGGGAUGAGCCCGCGUAGGAUUAGGUAGUUGGUGGGGUAAUGGCCCACCAAGCCGACGAUCCUUAGCUGGUCUGAGAGGAUGAUCAGCCACACUGGGACUGAGACACGGCCCAG